ensembl:lncRNA
UACGCCACAGUGUGCAUCACACUUUUGACACCAAUAUUUGCAAUAGUACAAAUAAAAUAUAAGCAUGGUUGAAUUAUGGAACAAAAUCCAGAACAGAAAAUAUUGUUCUUUUUGGUCCAAAGCAGAAAAUGCAUUGUACUGUAUAGUCACUUAGAAAAGACUUGAGGUCUUCCUGUACAUACAUGAAAGUGGGCACUUGGACCUCUGGAGGAUUGCACUUACAAAAUAUCAACCUGGAAAGAACCCUGUCCCACAUUUGGGCACAAUGUGAUCGUAGUAUUACUCCACCAUGGCUGAAAAAUUGCUCAAUCUCAGGUGCUUGACAUAAUUAGGGCUGGAUUCAUUGCUAAUAACACACCAUUGCAAAAGCUUGACUCUACGGUCAUUGAACCAUUUUCAUGUUCAUUUGAUGGUGUCAGGUCCUGGCUGGGGGCCUCUAGGCCUUUCUAUGUGCCUGCGGGUCACAGCCAGGGCCUGACCAAAGAAAUGCUUCUAGGACGAUGAGCAACUGCCGCAUCCUCUCCACCGGUGCCCCGCCCUCUCCCCCCCUUGGCUGUUCCGCGUCUUGCGAUCAGGAGCACGUGCCUUUGGAGGGGUACUGUCAUGUCCUGGCUGGGGGCCUCUAGGCAUCUCUGCACUGUUGUCUUUGAUUGUCCCCAGAUAGAGGCAACUGCCCCGCAUUGCCUCUAAUUGGGAACCUUUUUUAGGUUGUGGAUCAUUGUUUGUGUUGUGUUUGCACUCAAUUCGCAGGUUGCUGCUCCUUUAGUUAUUUUUUUGUGCUAUCAUAUAAGGAUGAUUCCCUUUACCUUGUGUCCUGUUUAGCUACAACCGUGACAGGUGGUUUGGUUUUGUUCAUUGUUCUGCUUAAAGAUUAAAAAAUGACCCAGUUUUAGCUUCUUGGCAGAUUUAUGAGGUUUGGGCCUAAAAUCCCCUGGUACUUGAUGGGUCCAUGUUGCUAUGUAGACUUAUUUGAUUCCCAGGGCCUUUGGAAGUAAAAUUGCCCUGACAGUGCAGGUACCUAUGUUUGUGUAGCUGACUUAUGAAUCCCCAAAUGGGAUUCUUGGAGAUGUUUAUGUCACUUGAACCAUCCUUCUCACCAAAUCUUCUUAAUUAUUGCCCUAACAGUGGGGAUGUUAUUUUUAGGUGUAUUGCUGUCUUUUCAUAGCCAUUGCUUGAUUUGUAAACAUCAAAAACCUAUUGUCUUUUUUCAUUUGUGUGUUUUAAGGCCUUUUUCCAAGUUGAUGGAUAACUAAGGAAGUUGAGCCUGUGUCACUUCAUAUUUAUACCCCAGUGAAACAGGGUGUCAUGAAUGACCAAAGAAUCAGAUGAACUUCAUAAUGUGAAAUCUAAAUUGAUAUACACCAAUUAGAUGGUCAAUGAUUGUGGUGUGCAUUUGUUUGAAGAAAAAAAUUAUCGAGAUUUUUUUUCUUUAAAAAUGUUUACUCAGUUAAUGGUGCAAUUUACAUUAUAUAUAUCAAAUAUAACAUGAAGUUGAUUAACAACUAUGACAUUCUUUCAUAGCCUUUUUUGUUGAAAUGUACUUAGGGUGCCAAUCAUUCUAGAUGGGAGUUUAUUGCAUUGGCUGGUUAAUGGUGAGUUAGUGGCUGACUUUUAUCUAUUAAUUGACUUCAUUUGGCGUAGUCCUUUUGACAAUGGAGUCAAAAUGUCAGCCUGUAGUGUUUUGUGCAGACAGAAUAGGCAGGGCUUUCUCACAGUCUGGGGAUAUGUUAUCUCAGGUGUAAAAAUAGCUGGAGGCUGAAAUAACACAUGUCAUUUAACAAUUUAGAUGUUGCAAUUCUGUUGUGGGAGAAAUGGAUUGAGUUAUAAUGCCAGCUCUAGGUAAAACCAGGAAGGAGGAAGAAGACUACAACAGAAAGGAGCAGAUCGGGAGGGAAUUUUGUUUCCAGUUAGUCAAACAGUAUCAAUCAUCACCAAACCAGUUUCCUCCACUUACACCAGUAAUAAUGGUUAGGUCUGUGUAACCUUAGUAACCCCCCAACAGUUUACUUUGUUCUUGUCAGCACCACUUACAGGGCCAAACUAUUUUCAAGCUUUUCUUUAAUAUUGGCUACGUCAGGUUAAUUUAUGGGUGAGGGUGACACUGAGAAACUAGAUAAUAAGUGUUCUAAGAAAUUAUUUGAUUUCAUUAAGUACUUUGGUAGAUUUGGAGGUUGUAAGUCUUUUGCUCCUUCAGUUUUGGUUCCUUAAUAGAGGGUUGGGGGGGUCUAAUGUUUACAUAGCUGGAACAUUUAUCACAGAGCUAUGGAAGGGGGAGGUUCUUCCCAGUUACCUGUUGAUAUUAUUGAAAAUCAGCUGGAAGACCCGGACUUAGUUUUGGAGAAUCAGGAGCUUAAAGAAGAAAAGGACAGAUCCAGGGUUUCACUUGUUUUUGGGGAGCAUAUUGACAGUUCCAGCUGCAUACAUUCUAGUGAGUCUCCUGUGAGGUGGAGGAAAGCCAGGACGAUACCGCUACUAGUUCCCCUCCAGUGGUGCUCAGCAUUUCAGAAAGGUGGAGUUGGGGAACAUGGUUGAUUGUUCUAAUGGGUUUGCUGAAGUUGUGGUUUUUGACUAGUUAUGGUUGUUCUCUCAUUGCUGGAUUACAUAUCAGAUUUUUGUGUUAACCUCUAGUGGCUGACUAUAGAUUGUAGCUAGAUGGUUGUGACUAUGGGCCUUGUGAAUGAAGAUGGGCUAGACCAGGAGGGGUUACUGGUUGUCACAGGAUUCAUUAACUACUUUCAACUACAGUAUUUGCAGUAUACACAUUGGUCUCUUCGAUAACGGAUGUUUUACGGAAAAUAAAAAGACACAUUUAUAGAAAUGUCGAGCAUUCUGGUAAAUAGGCAGUCUACUAGUCACUAGGUGAGGUUGUUUGUUGUUUGGGGAUGUUUGAACAUAAAACACACUAUCCAAGAAAUUAUCCCACACUCCAUCCCCCCCUGGUGGCAGCAAGAACCAGGUCUAGGAGCUUUGCUGUCAAACCUUGAUAAUGACAUCAAAUUAAAGCAAUUAGUUGAUUGUCAGUCAGUGUACAGGCUUGCAGAGACUUUGUUUUUACUGGUCAUGAAGCUUUUCAUUUUUUGUUAAGCUGUUAGUUUGGACAUUUUGUAUGUUUUCCCAUAUCUGAAUCUGCUUGGACUGGCCCACCAACAGCGAAAAAAGGAGCUGGUCCAAAGUUUCAGCUAAGAUGGGUUUCCUGGGUACAUCCAUUCAACUCUUAAUUGCAUAUGAGAUGAAGUACCUUACAUUUAUUAGCACAUCAAAUCUGAUUAUAAACCAAGUAGCUAGGUCUAAAACCCCUAGACAUAACAAGUGCAGCAGAAUUUAAUAGAUUGGGAAAACUACAGUAAAUCAUAACAGACCAGGGAUAGGCUACUAACAUAUUUUCAAGAUUCAAAUGGUUUGCUGUAAUUGCCAUUCCAUUUUAUCUUCACAAGUUCGAGCAAUGUAAAAUACAAAU